rnacentral:rRNA from 1 species
CAGAGGUCCCAAGCGUUGUUCGGAUUCACUGGGCGUAAAGGGUGCGUAGGUGGUCGGGUAAGUCUGAUGUGAAAUCUCUGGGCUCAACCCAGAAAUGGCAUUGGAUACUAUUCGGCUAGAGGAGUGGAGGGGGGACUGGAAUACUUGGUGUAGCAGUGAAAUGCGUAGAUAUCAAGUGGAACACCAGUGGCGAAGGCGAGUCCCUGGACACUUCCUGACACUGAGGCACGAAAGCUAGGGGAGCAAACAGGAUUAGAUACCCUGGUAGUCCUAGCCCUAAACUGUGCACGUUUGCUGUAAAAGGAAUCGACCCCUUUUGUGGCGAAGCUAACGCGUUAAACGUGCCGCCUGGGGAGUACGGUCGCAAGAUUA